AUUGAACGCUGGCGGCAUGCCUAACACAUGCAAGUCGAACGGGGCAGCAAUGCCUAGUGGCGGACGGGUGAGGAAUACGUAGGAAUCUGCCCUUAAGUGGGGGAUAACCAGGGGAAACCCUGACUAAUACCGCAUGAUCUCUUCGGAGCAAAGAGGGGGACCGCAAGGCCUCUCGCUUCUGGAUGAGCCUACGUCGGAUUAGCUAGUUGGUAGGGUAAAGGCCUACCAAGGCGAUGAUCGGUAACUGGUCUGAGAGGACGACCAGUCACACUGGGACUGAGACACGGCCCAGACUCCUACGGGAGGCAGCAGUGGGGAAUAUUGGACAAUGGGGGCAACCCUGAUCCAGCGAUGCCGCGUGAGUGAAGAAGGCCUUCGGGUCGUAAAGCUCUUUAGGUUGGGAAGAAGGGUAUUGGCUGAAUAAUCCAGUACUUUGACGGUACCGACAGAAUAAGCACCGGCAAACUCUGUGCCAGCCGCCGCAGUAAUAC
rnacentral:rRNA from 1 species